rnacentral:misc_RNA from 1 species
UCCGUAGGUGAACCUGCGGAAGGAUCAUUACAGAAAGUAAACGCGGAUCAAACCGCGAACUUUUAAACCUUUGACGAUUGACUCAUGUUGCCUCGGCGGGUUCGCCCGCCAGAGGAUACAUCAAAACUCCUGUUUUAAACGGUGUUGUCUGAGCUAUAAGCAACGAAUCAAAACUUUCAACAACGGAUCUCUUGGUUCUGGCAUCGAUGAAGAACGCAGCGAAAUGCGAUAAGUAGUGUGAAUUGCAGAAUUCAGUGAAUCAUCGAAUCUUUGAACGCACAUUGCGCCCCUUGGUAUCCCGAGGGGCAUGCCUGUUCGAGCGUCAUUUCACCACUCAAGCCUGGCUUGGUGUUGGGUGACGUCCAUUUUAAGGACGCGCCUCGAAACGCUCGGCGGCGUGGCACCGGCUUUAAGCGUAGCAGAAUCUUUCGCUUCGAAAGUCGGGGCCCCGUCUGCCGGAAGACCCAUUCGCAAGGUUGACCUCGGAUCAGGCAGGGAUACCCGCUGAACUU